rnacentral:lncRNA from 1 species
GGGGGCCUCAUUGUGUCUCCCAUGCAUGCACUGCAGGAUUGAUGUGCAGGGUGUUUAUGCAGAUUUAGCAGUCCCCAGCUGAGUGAAUGGGAGCGUACUUGUGUGUUUCAUAACAGCCAGGAUCCCCUCGAUAGGUGUUUGGAUAUUUUUUGGUGUGGUGUGCUGUGCGUGCUGCGUGUGUGUUUACGUACCUGUACAAGUACAUGUUGUAAAUCCCUUAUAAAGAAGCUUUAUUGAACGUGUUCUGAUUUUGAGGUGUCACAAUAGGUAGCUCAUAGGUGCCGCUACAGUGUGUAUUUAGCAUGGGGAUUGCAGAGUGACCAGCACGCUGGACUCCGAGGUGGUUCAGACGAGACAGAGGCGAGCGGUGACCAUCGCCCUCGUGCCAGGAGUUUCUCCGGUCCUGCGCGUGUAUAGACUGUACCUUACGAAGAAUACACAGGAAGACUUUGUGACUGUCACUUGCUCUUUUCUUUUUUCUGCGCUUCAGUAAAAGUGUCAGCAAAUGAGACUGUCUCCUGGCCCCUGCCCACUGGGGAUCAGCAUGGUUGUCCCUCCAAUCUAAAGCAUCCAUCCUUCUCUUGCCUGAAGUGGGAGGGAGAUGGGCCAGGCAGAGGACAGAACUGGAGGCAGUCCAUCUAGGGAAUGGGACCUCAAGGCCACACUUGCGGGACAUUUGGACUGCUAUUCUGGGGCUUUUAUUUCUG